rnacentral:rRNA from 1 species
UACGAAGGGGGCUAGCGUUGUUCGGAAUCACUGGGCGUAAAGCGCACGUAGGCGGAUUUUUAAGUCAGGGGUGAAAUCCCGAGGCUCAACCUCGGAACUGCCUUUGAUACUGGAGAUCUUGAGUCCGGAAGAGGUAAGUGGAACUGCGAGUGUAGAGGUGAAAUUCGUAGAUAUUCGCAAGAACACCAGUGGCGAAGGCGGCUUACUGGUCCGGAACUGACGCUGAGGUGCGAAAGCGUGGGGAGCAA